GAUGAACGCUGGCGGCGUGCCUAACACAUGCAAGUCGAGCGAAAGGACCAGGAGUUUGCUUGUCUGAUGUUAGCGGAGGACGGGUGAGUAACAUGUGGAUAACCUACCUGUAAGACUGGGAUAAUUACGGGAAACGGGAGCUAAUACCGGAUAAUAUUUUGAACCACGUUGUGCAAAAGUAAGAGUCGGUCUUGCUGGCAGUAAUAGCUGGAUACGCGCUGAAUGAUCUGGUGGGUAAGGAAACGGCUUACCAAGGCUACGAGGCAUAGCCGACCUCAGGGAGGGGUCGCCCACCUGGGAAGUGAGACGGCGCCCAUACUCCUGCGCUAGGCAGCAGUCGGGAAUCGUACGCAAUGGGGGAGAGCCUGACAGAGCAACGGGGCGGGAGUGAUGACGGUGCUCGGAUCGGAAAGCUCUGUUAUUAGUAAAGAACAUAUGUGUAAGUAACUGUGAAGAUAUUGACGGUACCUGGUCAAAAAGCCCCGGCUAACUACGUG
rnacentral:rRNA from 1 species